UUUUUAAAGAUGAGGUGAAGUAGUUGCCACACUUCUCCGAUCUCUGUGGAGACUUUUUUUUUUUACCUUGGAGUAUGUCUGAGUAGGUUUCGGUGGAGCUUGUCUGAAUAGGUUGGGUGGAGCUUGUCUGAAUAGGUUGGGUGGAGCUUGUCUGAAUAGGUUGGGUGGAGUAUGUCUGAGUAGGUUGGGUGGAGUAUGUCUGAGUAGGUUGGGUGACACUGUGAUACUCCACAGCAGUGGCAGCUGUCCAGGAGAGCACCUUCCUCGUAUGUGUCAUUUUGGGAGAUUAGGGGUCUUGUUCACCAGGUCAGGCGUCGUAGUUCAGGUGACAUCAGGCUACAGUUUCAGUGAUUGAUUGGAAGAGAGUUGCUGAGCGUUUACGUACCUUCCUUAUUUAAAUCACACGUAAGUUCCUGAUUAAUUCACA
ensembl:lncRNA